CGCCGGUUUCGGCCUCGUCGCCUGGCCGGUGACAAACGGCGAAACCGGUA
rnacentral:hammerhead_ribozyme from 18 species